rnacentral:misc_RNA from 1 species
GAUGAAGAACGCAGCGAAAUGCGAUACGUAAUGUGAAUUGCAGAAUUCAGUGAAUCAUCGAAUCUUUGAACGCAUAUUGCGCUCUCUGGUAUUCCGGGGAGCAUGCUUGUUUGAGUAUCAGUAAACACCUCAACUCCCUUUUCUUUUUUGAAAUUGGAGCUGGACUUGAGUGAUCCCAACGCUUUCUUCCAAGAAAGUGGCGGGUUGCUUGAAAUGCAGGUGCAGCUGAACUUUUCUCUGAGCUAUAAGCAUAUCUAUUUAGUCUGCCUAAAAAACAGAUUAUUACCUUUGCUGCAGCUAACAUAAAGGAGACUAGUUCUUGUGCUGACUGAUGCAGGAUUCACAGAGACAGCUUCGGCUGACUUUGUAAACUCGAUCUCAAAUCAAGUAAGACUACCCGCUGAACUUAAGCAUAUCAAUAAGCGGAGGA